rnacentral:rRNA from 1 species
AAAUCUGCUCAUGAAUAUUUUUAAAUAGCCGCAGAUAUUUCUGUGCUAAGGUAGCAUAAUCACUUGUUUUUUAAUUAAAAACUAGAAUGAAAGAUUUAACGUUUUAAUUUAUUUAUUAUUAAUAUUAAUAUUAAAUUUUUAUUAAAUAUAAAAAUAUAUUUAUAAAAAAAAUAGACGACAAGACCCUAUUGAACUUUAUAUUUAUAUUUAGCUGGGGCAGCUAAUUAAAUAUAAUUUUAAUUAAUAUUAUUAUAAUAAUAUUCCAAUAUAAUUGAUUAUUAAACAAGUUACCAUAGGGAUAACAGCAUAAUAUUAUUUAAAAGUUCAUAUUAAAAAUAAUGAUUAUGACCUCGAUGUUGAAUUAUUAUUCCUUUAUUAAUGCAAUAAUUAUAAAAGUAGGUCUGUUCGACCUUUAAUAUAUUACA